AUAAACCGCUUAGUAAGCCACUGCUGCAGUUUCUUGAUUAUGGAGUUCUGUGCUGGUUGUUGAGGUGAUCACUACUUUGAUCUCUUGCUACUGCCUUCUGGGUAAAAGGUGAAUGGGUCCAAUGUUAGUAAUCCCAAAGUUGAAGCAUUGAUGAAGAGACAAGACUAGACCCCUGGGAGACACUUUUUCUGGAUUGUAACACAUCACCAGAUAUUUGUUACUGCCAACACUACUCACUUGAACUUUUCCCCUCUCAAUUGUGACAUAACUAAGGCUCCAACAGUCUAAAUUUUCGAGGAAAUCUGUUCCUGAAUAGUCCAUGCUUCAAAUCGAGGAGGAGGAGUACUAUCACCUCUUGGCUGAGAAGAUCUACAAGAUCCAGAAAGAACUGCAGGAGAAGCGACAGAAGAGGAUGCAGGAGACAGCAGGUACUGACACAGGAAACAGGAGGCACUGUGACGCAUGAGACAUCAGGCACUGAUGCUGCCACUGGUGGCAUCCCCAUGACGGCAGCAGUGCAGCUGCCCCAGCCACAGCCUCCCCACUAACUGCCCAGACCAUUAUGUCUACUGGGAAAAUGUAGCUCUUUCAACCAACUUAUAUCAGAACUAUGCUGUACAUAACUAUAUGGUCUUGAAGGUUUAUUUUGGUGUCAGUGUUGGUUUGGCUCAGCAGUGAAAAGUGGACUGGUAGAAUGGGGCGUCAGGUUGGCAUAGUGACACUUUUGUCACCUUCCGCUUUUGUGAAUCCAUCCCAGGUUUAAUGUGUGGAUUUUUUCAGUCUUUACUUAAUUUUGUGGGUAAUUUCUCUAUAAUGUUCAUGUGGAGUUUUUCCUUCCACUUCUAAAACUGAACAUUAUCCUCAUAUCUUUGCAGUUGUAAUUUGAAGAUCGUCACGUUUCUCAAGUGGUUACUGGCAGCCCUUUGAAAAACAUACUGGAGAUUAUAUUGCUACCAUCAAUAAAUAAAGCUGGAAUUGUUAUUGUUAUUGUUGUUGAAAUUACACAGGGUAAAUGGUAUUGGUUAUGGUAGCAGGGGCAGAUUUCCUUUUUUUUUUACAUUGGUCGCUUAUUGCUUUUGUUUUGCUGGGGAUUAUCGGAGAUGCUGCCCCGCACUCUAGCAGUGCAAUCAGCGGGUGUAACCUUGCCCAUUGCAGGAGUGAUGUGAAGGGCUAGGAAGUUUGCAGUAUUUAUAGAAAUUGCAGUGACCCAUGGUCAUAAAUACCUUCUGAAUUAAUAUUUCUUAAUGUGGUCAUAAUACAGACUGAUCGUUUGUGGUUCACUCAAGGAAGUCUGUACAUAGGUUAACAUAAAUUUGGUGUGUGAUGUCUACUUACAGUUUUAUUUCAAUUCCAAACAUCUGUAACUUUUUAAGUGAAUAAUCAAGACCUUUUCUUUAUUUGUAGUUUUCUGAAGGCUUUUAAUUUACUUCAUAUUUGAACAGUGAUGUCACCCAUAGAUCAUCGUCCAAUUUUUAUGACUGCAGAUGAAUUGACUCAGAAUGUGUACAAAAUGCAGAUGUAAAACAAAAAUUGUACGAUGUAAACAACAAAUAAAAGUGUAAUGCAAAUGUGAAUUUUAUGUUUUGAAACACGUUCCAUAUCUCAGUAUGUGGAAUGAAAAAAAAUUGUACGAUGCAGACAAGAAAAAUAAGUGUAAUGCAAAUGUGAAUUUUAGGUUUUGAAACACAUUCCAUAUCUCGGUAUGGGAAAGAAGAUGUCAAUUGUACUCAUAGUCAGUAAAUGUAACUAACUCAAGCUUAAAAUUGUAUUUCUGAUAGGAGCUUCACGCAUUAGGUGCUUCUGGAAAAUUUGUAUCUUUUUCUGCAAACAACUGUCCUUGCCUAUUGUCUCUUUCAUGACUUGAACAAGGCUCUUGCCGCGAAUAAAUUAGAUUGCUAAUUUGAUAGACAAACAAACAGAUAUUUACAUGUAUGUAGAUAGGGUCUGCUGCUUGCCAAAGAGAAAACAAAUAAAAUGGAAAGGUUCAACAGCAACUCUUAAAUUUGAAGGUCCCUUUUCCUUGAAUGUCUGUAUUUAAACAAGAUAUGCUCUUAUUUCUAUUUUUGUAAAUCCAUUUUAGACAAGAUUGCAUAUUGCCAUUAUCUGGCCAUCUGUAUACACAGGUACAAGCUAAUGGUUUCAAACACCAAGCAUACCUUGACUCAGUCAACUCGACUGACAUUUAAAUUUAACAUGCCAAUGCUCUGUUUUGUUUUUCAAGCACACACAAAGUCUGAGAAGUCUGUGGAGGUACACUGUGUGUUAAAUAUGAAUUUGGCAGCCGUGCAUAUAUGGCCCUGUUGUAGUACAGUAUAUACCACUCCAUGGGCAUGUCCCACUUUGUUGAAAAGUAUGAGGUUGUUGUAAAAAAUAUGGUACAUAUACUCUUCAAAUGACUCGUGUAAAUCAGUACUUAUGGAGUUGUCUGUGUUGAUGGCCAUAUCUUACCUUUUUCAAGAGUUGAAAUUUUUGGCCAAAAACUAUACCCACCUGCAAGUGGACAAGAGGAAAGGGGUGGAAGAUUUGAGAAGUAAAUUGCAAUUCAUGUUUCUUUAUUUCCACUUCUUUGAUUUUUUUUCAUAAACAGAAGAUUCUCUAUCCGAUUUGCCAUGCUUGGUCUUGAAAGUCACAGAUUUGAGUCUUAUGAUGGGAACACCUUGCGAUAGAAAAAUAAAAUAGCUUAAGGCCUUAGUACUGAACACUUCCAGUCUCCCUCAGGAAACUUCUAAGUGGCUUUGAUCUAUGCAUUUUGUAUUCCAGAAUGGUCCACCUAUCAAAAACGGGCUUGCUUAUGUGUCAGGCUUAUGUAAUA